CACGUAGGGGACGAGCGUUGUCCGGAUUCAUUGGGCGUAAAGCGCGCGUAGGCGGCUCGGCAAGUCGGUCGUGAAAUGCCGGGGCUCAACCCCGGGACUGCGUCCGAUACUUCCGGGCUGGAGGUAGGUAGGGGAGAUCGGAAUUCCUGGUGUAGCGGUGAAAUGCGCAGAUAUCAGGAGGAACACCGGUGGCGAAGGCGGAUCUCUGGGCCUUACCUGACGCUGAGGCGCGAAAGCUAGGGGAGCGAACAGG
rnacentral:rRNA from 1 species